rnacentral:rRNA from 1 species
AUUGAACGCUGGCGGCGUGCUUAACACAUGCAAGUCGAGCGGCAACGCGGGGGCAACCCUGGCGACGAGCGGCGAACGGGUGCGUAAUACAUGGGAAUCUGCCCUGUAGUGGGGAAUAACCCGGCGAAAGCCGGGCUAAUGCCGCAUACGAUCUACGGAUGAAAGCGGGGGGACCUUCGGGCCUCGCGCUAUUGGAUGAGCCCAUGUCGGAUUAGCUAGUUGGUGAGGUAACGGCUCACCAAGGCGACGAUCCGUAGCUGGUCUGAGAGGACGGCCAGCCACACUGGGACUGAGACACGGCCCAGACUCCUACGGGAGGCAGCAGUGGGGAAUAUUGGACAAUGGGGGAAACCCUGAUCCAGCGACGCCGCGUGUGUGAAGAAGGCCUGCGGGUUGU